UGAAAUUUAUGACAAACUUUGAGUAGUUCAGUUGUAAGUCUCUUGGUAAAGAGGGAGAGACAGGUCUCUUGGUAAAGAGGGAGAGACAGGUCUCUUGGUAAAGAAAGAGACAUGUCUCUUGGUAAAGAGAGAGACAUGUCUCUUGGUAAAGAGAGAGACAUGUCUCUUGGUAAAGAAAGAGACAUGUCUCUUGGUAUAGAGAGAGACAUGUCUCUUGGUAAAGAAAGAGACAUGUCUCUUGGUAUAGAGAGACAGGUCUCUUGGUAAAGAGAGACAGGAUGAAGAGAUAGUCUCUACUGUGACAGCUUUUCAUUUAGUGUAGAGCAUUAUCAAAUCAUUACUUGAUAAGGCUCUACACAGAGCGAAACAUAACAUUGCUAAGCUCACUCGUAACGUUGUCAGAUCUUCUCUUCACACUGUCAGUUAAAACCUCUUGUUGAGUUUCUCUGCUUUCACGGAGACGUAACUGUACUGUCAUUGGUCAUAUACAUAUAAUAUGACUCAGGUAAUAGUAAUAACACCACUGCGGACAAGUCACAGAACCGAUGUUUCAGGUACACUGGUCUGUGAGUCUGAAGACUCACUUGGUCCCCCUCACCCGUUCUGUGACUUUUCUUAACUUAAAUAUACACGUUCUAGACCAGGAAUUACGAGGAAAUAUAAAGACAAACAGAAUGGAAUUACGAGGAAAUAUAAAGACAAACAGAAUGGAAUUAUGAGGAAAUAUAAAGACAAACAGAAUGGAAUUACGAGGAAAUAUAAAGACAAACAGAAUGGAAUUACGAGGAAAUAUAAAGACAAACAGAAUGGAAUUAAGAGGAAAUAUAAAGACAAACAGAAUGGAAUUACGAGGAAAUAUAAAGACAAACAGAAUGGAAUUACGAGGAAAUAUAAAGACAAACAGAAUCCGAGAGAAAAAAUAUAAAAACCAUUAAAAGUGAGGGUGUUUAUAUGGUGUAAUAAUAACAUUUCUAUGUAAAUUUACGUCAGGUAUUAUAUACACUCAAAAGGUCAAAAUUUUGAAUCAGUUCACAGAAUAUUUUUUUUUUUUGGCCAUCGUGAAAAAAUGAAUGAUACUCUAGAGGUGAAUUCUAAAUUUUGGAAUGAAUUAUGUGAGCUUAGAAAAUCUAAUACCUAGUUUGUGUACUUAAAUACAUUCCCAAGACUUCCUGAUUCCAAUUGUGUGUAUUUUGAAUUCAGUUCGUUUAAGUAUCGUUAUAUUCUGAACAUGCGCUGUAAACCCGUGUGGGCCAGCGCUGAGUUCAAGAGCUACAUGAUUAUAACUAGCUAGAUUUUGUUACUGAAGAUGUGUAUGUGUGUAUAUAUAUAUAUAUAUAUAUAUGUAAGUCAGUGUACAUAUCAUAGUCAAUGAUUUAUAUGUGUGUGUAUGUGUGUGUGUCCCGUGUCUACCAGGUGUUUUUACUAAACACCUUACAUUAACACUCUGACUAUAAACACCUGAGAUGCUAUUAUUAUUAUUAUUAUUAUUAUUAUUAUUAUUAUUAUUAUUAUUAUUAUUAUUAUUAUUAUUAUUAUUAUUUUUUAAUUAUUAUUAUUAUUAUGUUAAUCCUCCUGUGCCAUUUAGUUAAACUGGUGAAGGCUUGAUCCUCGAUCAGUUUAUCGCGAGAACGGAUAUAUACCCGGUGUUCGCUAAACACCCGCGAGUUGCUGACAUACCAGGGAGUCCUUGAAGGUCUACGAGUGUUAAUGCAGGGUGGUGCAGGGUACCUGUGGUAGGAGUCAGGUGUUUGGUAUGUGGGGAGGGAAGUCGUCAGGUGUUGUAAGGCAACUCUUUUGUAUCUCGUUUAAGAAAAUAAAUCUUUUUAUUUAUACUGA